UACGUAGGGGGCAAGCGUUGUCCGGAUUUAUUGGGCGUAAAGGGCGCGUAGGCGGCCCGCUAAGUCGAACGUGAAAUCCCCGGGCUCAACCCGGGAACUGCGUCCGAUACUGGCAGGCUUGAAUCCGGGAGAGGGAUGUGGAAUUCCAGGUGUAGCGGUGAAAUGCGUAGAUAUCUGGAGGAACACCGGUGGCGAAGGCGGCAUCCUGGACCGGUAUUGACGCUGAGGCGCGAAAGCCAGGGGAGCAAACGGG
rnacentral:rRNA from 1 species